AACAGGAUUAGAUACCCUGGUAGUCCACGCCGUAAACGUUGGGCGCUAGGUGUGGGGCUCUUUCCACGAGUUCCGUGCCGCAGCAAACGCAUUAAGCGCCCCGCCUGGGGAGUACGGCCGCAAGGCUAAAACUCAAAGGAAUUGACGGGGGCCCGCACAAGCGGCGGAGCAUGCGGAUUAAUUCGAUGCAACGCGAAGAACCUUACCAAGGCUUGACAUGGGCGGUAAUCCGGCAGAGAUGUCGGGUCCGUAAGGGCCGUUCACAGGUGGUGCAUAGUUGUCGUCAGCUCGUGUCGUGAGAUGUUGGGUUAAGUCCCGCAACGAGCGCAACCCUCGUUCCAUGUUGCCAGCACGUUAUGGUGGGGACUCAUGGGAGACUGCCGGGGUCAACUCGGAGGAAGGUGGGGAUGACGUCAAAUCAUCAUGCCCCUUAUGUCUUGGGCUUCACGCAUGCUACAAUGGCCAGUACAAAGGGCUGCGAGACCGUGAGGUGGAGCGAAUCCCAAAAAGCUGGUCUCAGUUCGGAUCGGGGUCUACAACUCGACCCCGUGAAGUCGGAGUCGCUAGUAAUCGCAGAUCAGCAACGCUGCGGUGAAUACGUUCCCGGGCCUUGUACACACCGCCCGUCACGUCACGAAAGUCGGUAACACCCGAAGCCGGUGGCCUAACCCCUUGUGGGAGGGAGCUGUCGAAGGUGGGACUGGCGAUUGGGACGAAGUCGUAACAAGGUAACC
rnacentral:rRNA from 1 species